UCAACCAANGUAUGCUUUGGAAACUGUUAGACUUGAGGNCAGAAGGGGAGAGUGGAAUUCCAUGUGUAGCGGUGAAAUGCGUAGAUAUAUGGAGGAACACCGGUGGCGAAAGCGGCUCUCUGGUCUGUCACUGACGCUGAGGCUCGAAAGCGUGGGUAGCGAACAGGAUUAGAUACCCUGGUAGUNCACGCCGUAAACGCUGAGUGCUAGGUGUUAGGUCCUUUCCGGGACUUAGUGCCGACGCUAACGCAUUAAGCACUCCGCCUGGGGAGUACGACCGCAAGGUUGAAACUCAAAGGAAUUGACGGGGGCCCGCACAAGCGGUGGAGCAUGUGGUUUAAUUCGAAGCAACGCGAAGAACCUUACCAGGCCUUGACAUCCCGAUGCCCGCUCUAGAGAUAGAGUUUUUCUUCGGAACAUCGGAGACAGGUGGUGCAUGGUUGUCGUCAGCUCGUGUCGUGAGAUGUUGGGUUAAGUCCCGCAACGAGCGCAACCCUUAUUGUUAGUUGCCAUCAUCAAGUUGGGCACUCUAGCGAGACUGCCGGUAAUAAACCGGAGGAAGGUGGGGAUGACGUCAAAUCAUCAUGCCCCUUAUGACCUGGGCUACACACGUGCUACAAUGGUUGGUACAACGAGUCGCAAGCCGGUGACGGCAAGCUAAUCUCUGAAAGCCAAUCUCAGUUCGGAUUGUAGGCUGCAACUCGCCUACAUGAGGUCGGAAUCGCUAGUAAUCGCGGAUCAGCACGCCGCGGUGAAUACGUUCCCGGGCCUUGUACACACCGCCCGUCACACCACGAGAGUUUGUAACACCCAAAGUCGGUGAGGUAACCAUUUAUGGGGCCAGCC
rnacentral:rRNA from 1 species